rnacentral:rRNA from 1 species
GACGAACGCUGGCGGCGUGCCUAAUACAUGCAAGUAGAACGCACAGUUUAUACCGUAGCUUGCUACACCAUAAACUGUGAGUUGCGAACGGGUGAGUAACGCGUAGGUAACCUGCCUGGUAGCGGGGGAUAACUAUUGGAAACGAUAGCUAAUACCGCAUAAUAUUAAUUAUUGCAUGAUAAUUGAUUGAAAUAUGCAAUUGCAUCACUACCAGCUGGACCUGGUUUGUAUUAGCUAGUAGGUGAGGUAACGGCUCACCUAGGCGACGAUACAUAGCCGACCUGGGAAGGUGAUCGGCCAAACUGGGACUGAGACACGGCCCAGACUCCUUCGGGAGGCAGCAGUAGGGAAACUUCGGCCAUGGACGGAAGUCUGACCGAGCAACGCCGCGUGAGUGAAGAAGGUUUUCGGAUCGUAAAGCUCUGGUGUAAGAGAAGAACGGGUGUGAGAGUGGAAAGUGCACACUGUGACGGUAUCUUACCAGAAAGGGACGGCUAACUACGUG